rnacentral:rRNA from 1 species
UGGUCAAGUUAUUAAGGGUGCAGGGCGGAUGCCUUGGCACUAGGAGCCGAUGAAGGACGUGAUAAGCUGCGAUAAGCUUCGGGGAGUUGCACGUAAACUUUGAUCCGAAGAUUUCCGAAUGAGGAAACUCACUUAGAGUAAUGUCUAAGUAUCAUUAAGUGAAUACAUAGCUUAAUGAGGGGAACUCAGGGAACUGAAACAUCUAAGUACCUGAAGGAAGAGAAAGAAAUUCGAUUCCGUAAGUAGCGGCGAGCGAACGCGGAUUAGCCCAAACCAAUAAAGUUUUC